rnacentral:rRNA from 1 species
ACAUGACUACAACAUAGCGUUAAUGCAUAAGAUCCCAUUAGAACUCCGCAGCUAAGCGUGCUUGGGCUAGAGUAGUACUGGGAUGGGUGACUUCUCGAGAAGUCCUAGUAUUUUACAUGCC